UACGGGGGGGGUAAGCGUUGUUCGGAAUUACUGGGCGUAAAGGGCUCGUAGGCGGCCAACUAAGUCAUACGUGAAAUCCCUCAGCUUAACUGGGGAACUGCGUGUGAUACUGGAUGGCUUGGAUUUGGGAGAGGGAUGCGGAAUUCCAGGUGUAGCGGUGAAAUGCGUAGAUAUCAGGAGGAACACCGGUGGCGAAGGCGGAUCUCUGGGCCUUACCUGACGCUGAGGCGCGAAAGCUAGGGGAGCGAACAGG
rnacentral:rRNA from 1 species